CCUACCCCUAGAAGCAUGGCAGCCGUGGCUGCUGCAUCACAUGUAUAAAAUCAGUAGGUAGCAGAGAAGAGAAUGACUACGACUAUGAUCAGCGUUCUGACCUUUGAACACCUGAAUGAUUAGUAUCCUUACAUU